AGCAGUCGCCGCGGUAAUACAGAGGGUGCGAGCGUUAAUCGGAUUUACUGGGCGUAAAGCGUGCGUAGGUGGCCAAUUAAGUCAAAUGUGAAAUCCCCGGGCUUAACCUGGGAACUGCAUUUGUGACUGGCGAGCUAGAGUAUGGCAGAGGGGGGUAGAAUUCCACGUGUAGCAGUGAAAUGCGUAGAGAUGUGGAGGAAUACCGAUGGCGAAGGCAGCCCCCUGGGCCAAUACUGACGCUCAUGCACGAAAGCGUGGGGAGCAAACAGGAUUAGAUACCCGCGUAGUCCCUGUCUCUUAUAC
rnacentral:rRNA from 1 species